GGCUGGUCUGAGUGCAAUGUUGUUUACAGCGAAUUGAUCACAAUCAGUUAUGGAUUUCUAUGUUCCUCCUCCGCUCCCAUUGCUUCACUUGACUAGCCUUUA
ensembl:misc_RNA Y_RNA Y RNA